GAAACUGGGGAACUUUGAGUGCAGAAGAGGAGAGUGGAAUUUCCACGUGUAGCGGUGAAAUGCGUAGAGAUGUGGAGGAACACCAGUGGCGAAGGCGACUCUCUGGUCUGUAACUGACGCUGAGGAGCGAAAGCGUGGGGAGCGAACAGGAUUAGAUACCCUGGUAGUCCACGCCGUAAACGAUGAGUGCUAAGUGUUAGGGGGUUUCCGCCCCUUAGUGCUGCAGCUAACGCAUUAAGCACUCCGCCUGGGGAGUACGGUCGCAAGACUGAAACUCAAAGGAAUUGACGGGGGCCCGCACAAGCGGUGGAGCAUGUGGUUUAAUUCGAAGCAACGCGAAGAACCUUACCAGGUCUUGACAUCCUCUGACACUCCUAGAGAUAGGACGUCCCCUUCGGGGGCAGAGUGACAGGUGGUGCAUGGUUGUCGUCAGCUCGUGUCGUGAGAUGUUGGGUUAAGUCCCGCAACGAGCGCAACCCUUGAUCUUAGUUGCCAGCAUUCAGUUGGGCACUCUAAGGUGACUGCCGGUGACAAACCGGAGGAAGGUGGGGAUGACGUCAAAUCAUCAUGCCCCUUAUGACCUGGGCUACACACGUGCUACAAUGGACAGAACAAAGGGCAGCGAAACCGCGAGGUUAA
rnacentral:rRNA from 1 species